CCUUCAGAAGGUUUAUCAACCCUUUUAGUCUUUAGGCUCUCCAGAUAAAGCGGACAGUUUCUCCUCCAGUGGCCUUCAACAUCACAGUGGAAACACUUUCCCUUUACUUUGACCUUCUUAGAAACUUUCUUCCUUGGCUUGUUCUCUUUUUUCUGCUUCUUAGCUAAUUUAACCAUCUUCUUUCUAGUAGACUUUCUUUUGGAAGAAAUCCGCUCC
rnacentral:lncRNA from 1 species